rnacentral:rRNA from 1 species
UGCCAGCAGCCGCGGUAAUACGGAGGGUGCAAGCGUUGCUCGGAAUCACUGGGCGUAAAGCGUACGCAGGCGGCCUAUUAAGUCGGGUGUGAAAGCCCGGAGCUCAACUCCGGAACUGCGCCCGAUACUGGUAGGCUUGAAUACGGGAGAGGGAAGCGGAAUUCCUGGUGUAGAGGUGAAAUUCGUAGAUAUCAGGAGGAACACCAGUGGCGAAAGCGGCUUCCUGGCCCGAUAUUGACGCUCAUGUACGAAAGCGUGGGGAGCAAACAGGAUUAGAUA